rnacentral:misc_RNA from 1 species
AAAUGGAGAUCGCCAGUUUUUCUCCACAGGAAUUUGCCCUCGUUUCGAUGUUUAUCUCGCUAAUAAGUGUCGACUGCUGAGACACACAUCAGCUGAUAGCAUUAGGCAGACUAUCUCUAGUGAUAACCCUAGAGUUAAACAUCCAGCUUAAAGGGCGGCGAUAGCUGGUCGUUUCCGUACAGUUACUAAAGUCGUUUAGUUCAUGACACGUCUCAUACAUCAACGUCAAAAACAUGUUAACCUUUCUGUGCUCAUUGCCCAUUUUGUGGCAAAUCGGAUUGCUGAUUUCGGUUCUGCUUGGCGGCUUUAAAGCCUACCUCUGGUACACGCUGGGUGUUUGCACCAGCACCAAGAAACUGACGGGCAAAACGGUCAUAAUCACUGGAGCCAAUACGGGUAUCGGCAAAGAGACGGCCAUUGAUCUCGCUAAAAGAGGAGCACGAGUCAUUCUCGCCUGUCGAGAUCCUAAAAAAGCAGCGAUCGCCAAAGAUGACAUUAUUAGGGAAUCGGGUAACAAAAACGUGGUCAUUCGGCAGCUGGAUUUAGCAUCGCUCAAGUCUGUACGCAAAUUUGCCGCCGACAUCCUCAAGAGCGAACUUCGUCUGGACGUUCUCAUCAACAACGCCGGAUGCGCCACCAUUGAGAAGACGUUAACAGAAGACGGAUUAGAGUAUCAGAUGCAAAGCAAUCACUUCGGUCAUUUCCUGCUGACCAAUCUAUUGUUAGGAUUGCUGAAAAAAUCAGCACCUUCCCGCAUCAUUCACGUCUCUUCCAUGGCACACGCUUUUACCAAGACUUUGGACUUGAAUAACUUGAACUCGGAGCUAUCCUAUGAUACCGGCACAGUAUAUUACUAUUCCAAGUUGAGCCAGGUUCUUUGCACUCGACAUCUCGCACCUCUCGUUUUCAAUUCCGGCGUGACCGUGAACUGUUUACAUCCUGGUGCUGUCCAAACUGAAAUAUUCCGCAACGCUCCUUCAUGGUUCCAAAUGAUAGCGGCCAUCACUUUUCCUCUUUUCUUCAAGGUAAGAAUAUAACUGUCAAUGCUCUUCAUCCGGGAGUCGUUCACACCGAAGUUCAGUCGGUUCCUUCCUUACGAGGUUUUCAAGAAAAUAAUGACAGCCUCAUUUCUCCUGUCUUCUCGAAGUCGGCCAAAGAAGGUGCUCAGACCACCAUUCACUUGGCUGUAGCUGACGAGGUUGCCAACGUUACUGGAGAAUAUUUUAGCGAUUGCAAG